rnacentral:lncRNA from 1 species
GUCACAGGCAGGGGGAAUGGGGAGGGGACGGUAGCGUCAGCCUAGACCCACACGCAGAAGCUGACAAUGACUGUUGGGCUUUUCCAAUGAAUACCAGAACACCAUUUCCUGCAGCCUGAAAAGAAGACAGUAUAAUUAUUUGGCAGCAAGAGGCCAAGCAGGAAACUAGAGAUAUGGUGAUGGUAGUGGUCCCAAGGAGGAGCUUUAACAUGAGCACCACCCACAGGAGGCAGACCACCCUCCUGGCUGCAGUGCGUAUGAAUGUUGGCCCCCACCCAGGUCCUCAAGUGCUUUCCCAGUCACGCCCCAGCUGCCAGGUUUUUUCUCCAGGCCUACUUCAGGUGGGUUACCCUGACUCCACCCCCAACACCCUCCAAUGAUUAGAACCACUGACUCCUCCUUCCCAUGCCUGCCUCCAUGGCAGGCCCCUGCAGAAACCAAACAUAGUCACCUUAGACUCUGGCAUACUGAGACCAGGGCUUGAUCCUGGCCCCCUUGCCUGCCUGGCAAUUUAUCAUUGAAUAAAAAUAUUGUUAAAGAA